AAGAGGAGCAAAAUAAAUUCUGCGAAUAGGGGAAAGUUGGAAGUGAACCACAUAGCUGGUUCAAAGUCAUUUGUACAACUUCGUCGCGAUAUGCGAGAUUCCGUCACUUGACAGGAGCCCGGACCAGUAGACUUCUACAGAGAGACUCAUUGUCGGCAGGCGACGGGAUCUUGGGUACAUCUUACAGCCAGCGAGAAUUGGGCGGCGAUGGACGCCAUACGCAGUCAGCCCACUCCCGAUGGUACUCAGCGGAGUGAGCCAGAGAUCCUGAGUGAGGUGCUUGGCACCCGUUCUGGAUAUGUGCGUGGGCUUGGCCAUGGUGCCAAGCUCAUGGCACUCGCUAGAGUUGCAUCCAGCCAAUCCGUCGCUGGCGAGAGCGCCAUACGCCGAACUGAUAUCGCAGAGAAAGAGGUUCAACAUCUAUGGGGCGCCGUCGACGAGAUCA